AUUGAACGCUGGCGGCAGGCUUAACACAUGCAAGUCGAGCGAGCGGCGGACGGGUGAGUAAUUUCUGGGAAACUGCGUGAUGGAGGGGGAUAACUACUGGAAACGGUAGCUACUCCCACCUUCCAUCAGAUGUUCUCAGAUGUGAUUAGCUAGUAGGUGGGGUAAAGGCUCACCUAGGCGACGAUCCCUAGCUGGUCUGAGAGGAUGACCAGCCACGCUGGAACUGAGACACGGUCCAGACUCCUACGGUAGGCAGCAGUGGGGAAUAUUGCACAUUGGGCGAAAGCCUGAUGCAGCCAUGCCGAGUGUGUGGAGAAGGCCUUCGGGUUGUAAAGCACUUUCAGCGAGGAGGCGUUACUCGCAGAAGAAGCACCGGCUAACUCCGUGCCAGCAGCCGCGGUAAUAC
rnacentral:rRNA from 1 species